rnacentral:rRNA from 1 species
AGAGUUGAUCAUGGCUCAGGAUGAACGCUAGCGGCAGGCUAACACAUGCAAGUCGAGGGGCAGCGCGGGGUAGCAAUACUCUGGCGGCGACCGGCGAAAGGGUGAGUAACGCGUGAGCAACAUGCCCGGGACUGGGGGAUAGUCGAUGGAAACGUCGCGUAAUACCCCGUAAUACACGGAACCGCAUGAUUCUGUGUUGAGAGAUUCAUUGAUUCCGGAUUGGCUCGCGUGCCAUUAGCUAGUUGGCGGGGUAACGGCCCACCAAGGCGACGAUGGCUAGGGGUUCUGAGAGGAAGGUCCCCCACAUUGGAACUGAGACACGGUCCAGACUCCUACGGGAGGCAGCAGUGAGGAAUAUUGGACAAUGGCCGAGAGGCUGAUCCAGCCAUGCCGCCGUGCGGGAAGACGGCCCUAUGGGUUGUAAACCGCUUUUGCGAGGGAGCAAUAAGGUCUACGUGUAGACCGAUGAGAGUACCUUACGAAUAAGCAUCGGCUAACUCCGUGCCAGCCGCAGC